GAUUCGUCACACUAUCAUUAACUGAAUCCAUAGGUUAAUGAGGCGAACCGGGGGAACUGAAACAUCUAAGUACCCCGAGGAAAAGAAAUCAACCGAGAUUCCCCCAGUAGCGGCGAGCGAACGGGGAGCAGCCCAGAGCCUGAAUCAGUGUGUGUGUUAGUGGAAGCGUCUGGAAAGGCGUGCGAUACAGGGUGACAGCCCCGUACACAAAAAUGCACAUAUUGUGAGCUCGAUGAGUAGGGCGGGACACGUGGUAUCCUGUCUGAAUAUGGGGGGACCAUCCUCCAAGGCUAAAUACUCCUGACUGACCGAUAGUGAACCAGUACCGUGAGGGAAAGGCGAAAAGAACCCCGGCGAGGGGAGUGAAAAAGAACCUGAAACCGUGUACGUACAAGCAGUGGGAGCACGCUUAGGCGUGUGACUGCGUACCUUUUGUAUAAUGGGUCAGCGACUUAUAUUCUGUAGCAAGGUUAACCGAAUAGGGGAGCCGAAGGGAAACCGAGUCUUAACUGGGCGUUAAGUUGCAGGGUAUAGACCCGAAACCCGGUGAUCUAGCCAUGGGCAGGUUGAAGGUUGGGUAACACUAACUGGAGGACCGAACCGACUAAUGUUGAAAAAUUAGCGGAUGACUUGUGGCUGGGGGUGAAAGGCCAAUCAAACCGGGAGAUAGCUGGUUCUCCCCGAAAGCUAUUUAGGUAGCGCCUCGUGAAUUCAUCUCCGGGGGUAGAGCACUGUUUCGGCAAGGGGGUCAUCCCGACUUACCAACCCGAUGCAAACUGCGAAUACCGGAGAAUGUUAUCACGGGAGACACACGGCGGGUGCUAACGUCCGUCGUGAAGAGGGAAACAACCCAGACCGCCAGCUAAGGUCCCAAAGUCAUGGUUAAGUGGGAAACGAUGUGGGAAGGCCCAGACAGCCAGGAUGUUGGCUUAGAAGCAGCCAUCAUUUAAAGAAAGCGUAAUAGCUCACUGGUCGAGUCGGCCUGCGCGGAAGAUGUAACGGGGCUAAACCAUGCACCGAAGCUGCGGCAGCGACGCUUAUGCGUUGUUGGGUAGGGGAGCGUUCUGUAAGCCUGUGAAGGUGUACUGUGAGGUAUGCUGGAGGUAUCAGAAGUGCGAAUGCUGACAUAAGUAACGAUAAAGCGGGUGAAAAGCCCGCUCGCCGGAAGACCAAGGGUUCCUGUCCAACGUUAAUCGGGGCAGGGUGAGUCGACCCCUAAGGCGAGGCCGAAAGGCGUAGUCGAUGGGAAACAGGUUAAUAUUCCUGUACUUGGUGUUACUGCGAAGGGGGGACGGAGAAGGCUAUGUUGGCCGGGCGACGGUUGUCCCGGUUUAAGCGUGUAGGCUGGUUUUCCAGGCAAAUCCGGAAAAUCAAGGCUGAGGCGUGAUGACGAGGCACUACGGUGCUGAAGCAACAAAUGCCCUGCUUCCAGGAAAAGCCUCUAAGCAUCAGGUAACAUCAAAUCGUACCCCAAACCGACACAGGUGGUCAGGUAGAGAAUACCAAGGCGCUUGAGAGAACUCGGGUGAAGGAACUAGGCAAAAUGGUGCCGUAACUUCGGGAGAAGGC
rnacentral:rRNA from 1 species